rnacentral:rRNA from 1 species
AUUGAACGCUGGCGGCAGGCUUAACACAUGCAAGUCGAACGAGUGGCGGACGGGUGAGUAAUUUCUGGGCACCUGCCUGAUGGAGGGGGAUAACUACUGGAAACGGUCGCUAAUACCGCAUACCAUCAGAUGUGCCCAGAUGGGAUUAGCUUGUUGGUGGGGUAACGGCUCACCAAGGCGCCGAGGCCUAGCUGGUCUGAGAGGAUGACACGCUACACUGGGACUGAGACACGGUCCAGAGUCCUACGGGAGGAAGCAGUGGGGAAGAUUGCGCAAUGGGCGCAAGCCUGAUGUAGCGAUGCCGCGGGUCUGAAGAAGGCCUUCGGGUUGUAAAGUACUUGCAGCGUGGAGGCGUUAGCCGCAGAAGAAGCACCGGCUAACUCCGUGCCAGCGGCCGCGGUAAUUG